rnacentral:pre_miRNA from 1 species
AGUGCAAUUGCUAGAUCAUAUGGUAAGAUUAUAUUUAACUUUGUAGGAAACUUCCAAACUCUCUUCCAAAGUGGCUGUGCCGUUUUGCAUUUGUACAAGCAGU